UGUAUAGAGUUGAGGAGACUUAUAUGCUGUGUAUAGAGUUGAGGAGAAAGCGUGAAGAAUUUUAGGGGCUGUGUACCUAUUAUAUAGUACAAGGACUUAGGGUUUUUUACUUUUCUAGAUCAAUUAGGUUCUGUUAGAGUAUAUUGAGAGAAUAUUUUGAGUAUUGUACAUGUUAUUGCCUCUUUUACGUAACCAACCAGUUUAGGUUGUUUUCUAACCACAAGGCGACGCUUUGAUCGACACGUUGUAUGUAGGUAAGGCGAUCAAAGGUGUUCGACAUACGUAUCUCGCUUGGCCACAAGGUGGUGAGAUGUUUUGGAGCUCGCCAAAGGUCGCCAAGCGCCAUGGCGACAGUAGCGCUCGCCAUUUAAAACCAAGCUCUUCAGAGCUGUAUGAACCAUUCUUUGUUUCCCUAAUGCAAAAGCCUUCAAAAGAGAAGAGGACAGAGACGGAAAGCAGUUAUAAUUGCAUUACUACUCGACUUAUCAGCAAGAACGAAGAGUUCACAUAUAAAAACAGGUGGCGAUUUCAUAUUAUAGACGAGGAGCUUCCAUACAACGAGAGACAAUCAUUACUUGCAAACUACGGUUUCACCUGAACUGCCCCCCUAAAUGUCUGGAAGAUUCAUCCAUCUCCUAAUAAGCCAUAAGAACAGAGAUACU